ACUCAAAGGAAUUGACGGGGGCCCGCACAAGCGGUGGAUCAUGUGGUUUAAUUCGAAGCAACGCGCAGAACCUUACCUAGGUUUGACAUCUCUGGACAAACGUAGAAAUACGUCUUUUGUAGCAAUACAACCGGAUGACAGGUGCUGCAUGGCUGUCGUCAGCUCGUGUGGUGACAUGUUGGGUUAAGUCCCGCAACGAGCGCAACCCUUGCCUUUAGUUGCCAGCAUUAAGUUGGGCACUCUAGAGGGACUGCCGUGGUUAACACGGAGGAAGGUGGGGAUGACGUCAAGUCCUCAUGGCCUUUAUAUCUAGGGCGACACACGUGAUACAAUGGAUGGUACAAAGGGAAGCGAGCCCGCGAGGGGAAGCCAAUCUCAAAAAGCCAUUCUCAGUUCGGAUUGGAGUCUGCAACUCGACUCCAUGAAGUUGGAAUCGCUAGUAAUCGCGGAUCAGAACGCCGCGGUGAAUACGUUCCCGGGCCUUGUACACACCGCCCGU
rnacentral:rRNA from 1 species